GAUGAACGCUGGCUACAGGCUUAACACAUGCAAGUCGAGGGGAAACGACGGGGAAGCCUGCUUCCCCGGGCGUCGACCGGCGCACGGGUGAGUAACGCGUAUCCAACCUGCCUCUGACUGAGGGAUAACCCGUCGAAAGUCGGCCUAAUACCUCAUGGCAUCGUCUGCGGGCAUCCAACGACGAUUAAAGAUUUCAUCGGUCAGGGAUGGGGAUGCGUCUGAUUAGCUUGUUGGCGGGGUAACGGCCCACCAAGGCUACGAUCAGUAGGGGUUCUGAGAGGAAGGUCCCCCACAUUGGAACUGAGACACGGUCCAAACUCCUACGGGAGGCAGCAGUGAGGAAUAUUGGUCAAUGGGCGGGAGCCUGAACCAGCCAAGUAGCGUGCAGGAUGACGGCCCUAUGGGUUGUAAACUGCUUUUAUGCGGGGAUAAAGUGAGGGACGUGUCCUUCAUUGCAGGUACCGCAUGAAUAAGGACCGGCUAAUUCCGUG
rnacentral:rRNA from 1 species